GAUCAUGGCUCAGGAUGAACGCUAGCGGCAGGCUUAACACAUGCAAGUCGAGGGGCAGCGGGAUGUAGCAAUACAUUGCCGGCGACCGGCGGAUGGGUGCGUAACGCGUAUGCAACCUACCUUAUACAGGGGAAUAACCUUUCGAAAGGGAGACUAACACCCCAUGGUAUUGAUUUAAGGCAUCUUAGAUUAAUUAAAUAUUUAUAGGUAUAAGAUGGGCAUGCGUAUGAUUAGCUAGUUGGUAAGGUAACGGCUUACCAAGGCGACGAUCAUUAGGGGUUCUGAGAGGAAGGUCCCCCACACUGGUACUGAGACACGGACCAGACUCCUACGGGAGGCAGCAGUGAGGAAUAUUGGUCAAUGGGCGCAAGCCUGAACCAGCCAUGCCGCGUGCAAGGAAGACGGCCUUAUGGGUUGUAAACUGCUUUUACAUAAGACUAACCGUAUAUUUGCGAAUAUACCUGAAUGUAUUAUGAGAAUAAGGAUCGGCUAACUCCGUGCCAGCCGCCGC
rnacentral:rRNA from 1 species